AUUGAACGCUGGCGGCAGGCCUAACACAUGCAAGUCGAGCGGCAGAAGGGUACUUGCUCGCUCAUUCAGCGGCCGAGGGGUGGGUGAUUGCUAGGAAUCUGGCUGUUUAUUGUGGAUUACGUGAUGACGCGGGCACUCUUACCCCAUACGCCCAGAGGAAGUAAGUGGGGGAGCAUGGGACCUCCCGCUAUCGGCUGAGCCUAUGUCGGAUUAGCUAGUUGGCGGGUUAACGGCCUACCAAGGCGACGAUCCGUAACUGGUCUGAGAGGAUGAUCAGACACACUGGAACUGAGACACGGUCCAGACUCCUACGGGAGGCAGCAGUGGGGAAUAUUGGACAAUGGGCGAAAGCCUGAUCCAGCCAUACCGCGUGUGUGAAGAAGGUCUUCGGAUUGUAAAGCACUUUUAGUUGGAAAGAAAAGCAGUAAGUUAAUACCUCGCUGUUUUGACGGUACCCACAGAAUAAGCACCGGCUAACUUCGUG
rnacentral:rRNA from 1 species